GUAAUGUUUUUUAAAAAAUACAAAAUUUGGUUUCUAAAUAUAAUUAAUAGUGUAGAUCAAUUUCAACGAUACUGAUUAUCAAUUUGGAGUCACGAUCGUCUAAAAUAAUUUAAUAGGACAAAGGUCUCUAUCGACUUGAAGUUUCCGAUCAUCGAUCCAUAUCAUUAAAUAUGACCUAAAACAUUUAAAGUAUCUAGAAAUUAAACUUUAUAAUUUUUUGAAUUUAUAAUAAAAUCCAUCAAGUGGAUAUAAAAUGAACAGUCGAAAUAAAACAAUCUCCUAAAAAUAGGGGAUGCAAUUUUUAAAUUCAAUAUCUAAGUAAUUGAUCUUGAUCUAUAGAGUGUAUAUAUAGAAGUUUCCAUUAAAAAUUCAAUCGAUUCCUAUUCUUUUACACCGUUAACUUGGAAACAGUCUAUACUCGCUAUUAAAAAUGUAAAUUUUUAGGCCCUUUCAUCGUAAAAUAUAUGAUGUUACAAAAAUUAUAAAAUUUAAUUUUUAAGAUUUUUAAAUACUUUAAAUUUUAUUUAACGGUAUGUAUCGUUGAUUCGAAACUCUAUCAUCGAAAAAGACUCAUUAGUACGAAAAUGAUUGUACUCAUAAUAAUAUAGUAGUCUAACUAUAUAUAUAUAUAGAGAGAGAGAGAGAGGGCUGGUAUGCUUCUGGAAGCAUGGAGACCUCCAUGCUUCCAAGUUGUUUUCGAUGUUUGGACUUUUGAAUCGAUGAUCGGCUCCAUUAAAGUUGAUCUAGAGUAUUUGAAGUACCUAGAAAAUAAAUUUUGUGAUUUUUCGAUAUCAUUUGCUUAGUGAUCGAAGGGGCUCAAAAUCAAUAAUUUUAAUGGCCGUGGUGAGCCGUUUGCAAGUUUAACGGUAUAGAAAUAUCCAAAUCACAUGAAAUUUUGAUAAAAAAUUCUUUAUACCAUAUAAAACAAGAUCAAUAACUUUGAUCUAAAAUUUUAAUGUCAUAUCAUCAUAUUUUGUAAGAUUUUUAUUUUCAGCCGUU
rnacentral:lncRNA from 1 species